rnacentral:hammerhead_ribozyme from 1 species
AUCCAGAUGAAGAGUCCCAAGUGGGACGAAAUGCGCAUCGAGCUGGAU